CCCAUUUUUCGAAGAAUGAGUUUGGGUAUGGCAGGCGGAAUUGCAAGACCCAUGCUCUGGCUGAACUCUUCUGCGAGCCUAACAAGUCUGGAUUUGUCUCGACUAAUAGCCUUGUUUGAGUUGUAGUACCCUAGCCAUGCCUGGUAGGCUGAUUCCUUGCUCUUUGUCUCCACUCUUCCGAUACAUAAUACUUACUCCUGUCUGAAUGCUCGAAUCAAUUGUAGGUACCACAGCUUGUGAUACAGACAAAUCCUGAACGCUAUUCAGAAAGUAUGUUUCCCAGGGAGCCAACAGUAAGAGACCUAGCCCAUCUUUGCCUUUCCGUCCAGUUCUACCAAGUCUAUGUAUAUACUAUGUAAUCAUGCGACCCACCUGUAUGACAAGGGUGACAUCAGGAUAAUCAACACCACGAGCAGAUACAUCAGAACUCACUAAUAUCAGACCCUUUGAUUUCCUAAAUUCAUCUGAGACCUUAGUUCUUGCUGAUUGCGACUUUCUCGAAUGGAUCUCUCUUAUAUUCAGUUUCAGCUGGGAAAGAACU
rnacentral:sRNA from 1 species